rnacentral:rRNA from 1 species
AUUGAACGCUGGCGGCAGGCUUAACACAUGCAAGUCGAGCGAGCGGCGGACGGGUGAGUAAUGUCUGGGAAACUGCCUGAUGGAGGGGGAUAACUACUGGAAACGGUCGCUAAUACCGCAUACCAUCAGAUGUGCCCAGAUGGGAUUAGCUAGUAGGUGGGGUAAUGGCUCACCUAGGCGACGAUCCCUAGCUGGUCUGAGAGGAUGACCAGCAACACUGUGACUGAGACACGGUCCAGAAUCAGACGUGAGGCAGCAGUGGGGAAUAUUGCACAAUGGGGGAAAGCCUGAUGCAGCCAUGCCGCGUGUGUGAAGAAGGCCGUCGGGUUGUAAAGCACUUUCAGCGAGGAGGCGUUACUCGCAGAAGAAGCACCGGCUAACUCCGUGCCAGCAGCCGCGGUAAUUC